rfam:Asian citrus Psyllid, Diaphorina citri - Florida Strain, whole genome shotgun sequence.
GCCUAGUUAGCUUAGUUGGUAGUGCGUCUGCCUUGUAAGCGCUAGGCCGCGGGUUCGAUUCCCGUCCGGGGC